rnacentral:tRNA from 1 species
AUUCAAGUAGCUUAUAUUUAGAGCAUAGUUUUGAAGCAGCUAGGGAAAUUAUUUUAAUUUUUGAAUA